UCUGAACGGAUGAAGCCUGGUGACCGGGUGUAUACGUGAGCACGCGGUGAUUGGCUGCCACGUGUCCAACGGACGUUUGUUGUCCGUGAGAGAAAAAGUGGUCUCACCUCACGCACGUGCCAACUAAGUAGACCUCUUUCUUCUCUCUUUUUUUAAUCACCUCUUCGUUCUCUGCUGACCUGCGCUGUCGCAAAUCGAGCCCCACAGCUAGUCUGGCUCCUCCACAGCGAGCCCCAAAUCGAGCUCCUCUACAUCGAACAUCGGGCGAUUGAUUUCGCGCGGAGGCAAUAGGAAUCGCGGGGAUAGAAAAACGCUCGACUGCUCCCAACGCCGGCCUGGAGCCUAUCGUCGCCAAAAUCGAUUCUGCGGGAGCUCCAGGGAGAGGUCAUGGCGGACGAGCUCGAGGGGGACCCCAUCUUCCUCUGCUUCUUGUUUCUCCAAAUCGGAUGUGGGAGGAGGCAUCUUCCUCUGCUUCUUGUUACUGGGUGGAGCAGCCCGCAACUGUGCGCCGACCACUUCGCCCAUGCCGUUCGCCGCGCGUGGCCGAUCCGUCCAUGCCGCCCGCCGUCCCUGGCCGAAGCAGCCGUCGGAGGCCGCUCCGCUCAUGACUGGCGGCGACUUCGCCGCCGGAGCCGCUGCGCUCGCGCCGUAUGCUGCACCUGGCCACUCCACUGGUGUCGGUGUCGUCUGUGGGGGAGGGUGAGAACGAGGAGGAGGCCGCCUUCACGCUCUGCAUCGAGGAAUCUCUUCACGAUCUGCAUCAGCCUCAGCUAGCUGGUACUCGUUCCGUGAGUAAAUAUUCAAUUCGAUACCCCUUCUUUGAGUUUGCUUGUGUACCAGCCUCAGCUAGCUGGUACUCCUUCUGUGAGCUAGCUGGUACUGCAUUAGGAGUACUACUCCUGCUAAAUGAACCACGGAGUAUUCUGUGAAUAUUGCAAUUGCUACUGCCACUGCACUUCCUAACUGAAUAUAACUGAAUUAAAUGUCAAUGACUCAAUGUGCCCAAGCUUGUGUAUCUCGAUUACUGGAUCAGAUGAUGAAAUGUGAAAAAGUAUGGUGAUCGGCAUGGUGCAGUCUUUGGCCUUUCUGGAGCAGUUAAAGGAUUUAGAAUUGCUAGUGUGGUGCAUUCUUUGGCCUUGCUUUUCACUGAAGAAGUAUGGUAUUGCUGCAACCUUACAACAAGCUUUGGGAGACAGUUAAAUGGAGUAUUCAAUAAAGAGAAUUUUGUUGGACCACAAUAAUUUGGCAAACCGGCAAAAAGCAGGACACGAAUGGUUCUACUGCAACAUAGAGAAAUAUGUCACGGUUCGCGGAGAUCACAGAGUCCAAUUUAUACUGUAAUUCUGUAAUGGCAAUUCAACAUGACAACUUUACUGUUAAAUGUUGAGUGGCUUACUGAUAAAUGUUCAUGCACACAUGCGUCCAUAUACUGUAUUUUGAUUAAUGCAUCUGAGAACAUACUUUUCCAUGAACUGGUACUGAACUUAACAGAUGCAACUGCUACUAAACUUAACAUAUGCUAUACUAGAAUAUUCCUUAUCAGUUUCAUAUUAAAAUGAAAAUAGAGUGCUCUUUAACACUUCAAAAUUGAGUAGCACAUGGGUAUCUGUAGCAUCUUAUGAUUGCAAUUAACUGAAUUUACACAUGAAUUACUCCAUACAUGAAUUACUUCAUUGGCCAGGUCCUACUACUGAUGUUGGAGAUCAGAGGUAGCUGCGGUGGUGCUUGCUGGAGAUCAGAGCGAGAUGCGCUGCUGGGAAUCGGCGAGAUGGCGAUGCGCAUCCGGGAAGUUGGGUACGAGCUGCUGGGAGCCGGCGAGAAGGCGAUGCGCAGCCGGGAGGUUGGCCGGGGCGGUGGAGUUUAGCAGUUGGGGGCGCCUUCGGCGAUGCAGCGGUGGCGGCGGCGUUCGAGGGCAGGGUCCGACGAGUUGAUGGGGCGGCGGCGUUCUGCUCGCCGUGGCCGGCGACAACGGUUGGGCGGCGCAUCUAGAGGCCCAGCGGCCCGCGUGCCAGGGCGGCGGCGCUCUGACGCUUGGCCGGCGGGGAGUAGGCCGCGGUGACCAGAGGCUCGACGCGAUGGGGCUCCAAGCCGGUGCAGUCCAGCGUUUUUGUUCCCAUGAUUAGGUACUGGGUGAUUGAUUAGCUAAUGGGUUUGCUGUAUCA